rnacentral:rRNA from 1 species
UAGGGAAUCUUCCGCAAUGGGCGAAAGCCUGACGGAGCAACGCCGCGUGAGUGAUGAAGGUCUUCGGAUCGUAAAACUCUGUUAUUAGGGAAGAACAAAUGUGUAAGUAACUAUGCACGUCUUGACGGUACCUAAUCAGAAAGCCACGGCUAACUACGUGCCAGCAGCCGCGGUAAUACGUAGGUGGCAAGCGUUAUCCGGAAUUAUUGGGCGUAAAGCGCGCGUAGGCGGUUUUUUAAGUCUGAUGUGAAAGCCCACGGCUCAACCGUGGAGGGUCAUUGGAAACUGGAAAACUUGAGUGCAGAAGAGGAAAGUGGAAUUCCAUGUGUAGCGGUGAAAUGCGCAGAGAUAUGGAGGAACACCAGUGGCGAAAGCGACUUUCUGGUCUGUACCAGACGAUGAUGUGCGAAAGCGUGUCGAUCAAACAGG